rnacentral:rRNA from 1 species
AUUGAACGCUGGCGGCAGGCCUAACACAUGCAAGUCGAACGGUAACAGGAAGAAGCUUGCUUCUUUGCUGACGAGUGGCGGACGGGUGAGUAAUGUCUGGGAAACUGCCUGAUGGAGGGGGAUAACUACUGGAAACGGUAGCUAAUACCGCAUAACGUCGCAAGACCAAAGAGGGGGACCUUCGGGCCUCUUGCCAUCGGAUGUGCCCAGAUGGGAUUAGCUAGUAGGUGGGGUAACGGCUCACUUAGGCGACGAUCCCUAGCUGGUCUGAGAGGAUGACCAGCCACACUGGAACUGAGACACGGUCCAGACUCCUACGGGAGGCAGCAGUGGGAAAUAUUGCACAAUGGGCGCAAGCCUGAUGCAGCCAUGCCGCGUGUAUGAAGAAGGCCUUCGGGUUGUAAAGUACUUUCAGCGGGGAGGAAGGGAGUAAAGUUAAUACCUUUGCUCAUUGACGUUACCCGCAGAAGAAGCACCGGCUAACUCCGUG